rnacentral:rRNA from 1 species
GACGAACGCUGGCGGCGUGCUUAACACAUGCAAGUCGAACGGAAAGGCCCUGCUUGUGUGGGGUGCUCGAGUGGCGAACGGGUGAGUAACACGUGAGUAACCUGCCCUUGACUUUGGGAUAACUUCAGGAAACUGGGGCUACUACCGGAUAGGAGCUCCUGCUGCAUGGUGGGCGUUGGAACGUCUCGGCGGGUGGGGAUGGACUGGCGGCUGAUCAGCUAGUUGGUGGGGGAGUGGCUUACCAAGGCUGUGACGGGUAGCCGGCCUGAGAGGGUGACCGGCGACAUGGGGCCUGAGAGACGGCGCAGACUCCUACGGGAGGCAGCAGUGGGGAGUAUUGCACAAUGGGCGGGAGCCUGAUGCAGCAACGCCGCGUGCGGGAUGACGGCCUUCGGGUUGUAAACCGCUUUCGCCUGUGACGAAGCGUGAGUGACGGUAAUGGGUAAAGAAGCACCGGCUAACUACGUG